CCUACGGGAGGCAGCAGUGAGGAAUAUUGGUCAAUGGACGAGAGUCUGAACCAGCCAAGUAGCGUGAAGGAUGACUGCCCUAUGGGUUGUAAACUUCUUUUAUAUGGGAAUAAAACGUUCCACGUGUGGGAUUUUGUAUGUACCAUAUGAAUAAGGAUCGGCUAACUCCGUGCCAGCAGCCGCGGUAAUACGGAGGAUCCGAGCGUUAUCCGGAUUUAUUGGGUUUAAAGGGAGCGUAGGUGGAUUGUGAUGUCAGUUGUGAAAGUUUGCGGCUCAACCGUAAAAUUGCAGUUGAAACUGGCAGUCUUGAGUACAGUAGAGGUGGGCGGAAUUCGUGGUGUAGCGGUGAAAUGCUUAGAUAUCACGAAGAACUCCGAUUGCGAAGGCAGUUCACUGGACUGCAACUGACACUGAGGCUCGAAAGUGUGGGUAUCAAACAGGAUUAGAUACCCGUGUAGUC
rnacentral:rRNA from 1 species